UACGAAGGGGGCUAGCGUUGCUCGGAAUCACUGGGCGUAAAGCGCACGUAGGCGGAUUGCUAAGUCAGGGGUGAAAUCCUGGAGCUCAACUCCAGAACUGUCUUUGAUACUGGCGAUCUUGAGUCCGGGAGAGGUGAGUGGAACUGCGAGUGUAGAGGUGAAAUUCGUAGAUAUUCGCAAGAACACCAGUGGCGAAGGCGGCUCACUGGCCCGGUACUGACGCUGAGGUGCGAAAGCGUGGGGAGCAAACAGG
rnacentral:rRNA from 1 species